UACGUAGGGGGCAAGCGUUGUCCGGAAUCAUUGGGCGUAAAGCGCGCGUAGGCGGCCCGGUAAGUCCGCUCUGAAAGUCCAGGGCUUAACCCGGGAAAGCGGGUGGAUACUGCCGGGCUUGAAUCCGGAAGAGGCGAGUGGAAUUCCUGGUGUAGCGGUGGAAUGCGCAGAUAUCAGGAGGAACACCAAUAGCGAAGGCAGCUCGCUGGGACGGUAUUGACGCUAAGGCGCGAAAGCGUGGGGAGCAAACAGG
rnacentral:rRNA from 1 species